UUUACAAGAUGGGGAAACUGAGGCACAGAGGAAGGCGUCAUUUGGCCAAGUUCACACAGGGACAUACAGCAGGGUCCUGGCUUGUCUGACUGCCAGAGACAGCUCUUCACCACCACCCUCCUGCCAGGUUCAAUUUCUUCUCCUCCUCCUUUUUCCUUCUUCGCCAUCAUCAUCAUCACCGUCAUCAUCUCAUAUGUGUCGAUACAAAUGUAAAAUGUGGCAUUUGUCAUGAUGAGCCCUUGGUUAGUUUUGAAGCUGUCUGUGACCAUAUCCUGGUUGAAAUGUCCUCGUUACAGAAGGCCAGCCGUGACUCACAGUGGGAGGUGUGCAAAUACCUGCACAAAUGCUGUCCUU